rnacentral:rRNA from 1 species
UACGGGGGGAGCAAGCGUUGUUCGGAUUUACUGGGCGUAAAGCGCGUGUAGGCGGUCGCUUAAGUCUGAUGUGAAAGCCCGGGGCUCACCUCCGGAAGAGCAUUGGAAACUGAGCGACUCGAGUGCCGGAGAGGAGGGUGGAAUUCCUGGUGUAGCGGUGAAAUGCGUAGAUAUCAGGAGGAACACCGGUGGCGAAGGCGGCCCUCUGGACGGAUACUGACGCUGAGACGCGAAAGCGUGGGGAGCAAACAGG